UAGGGAAUCUUCGGCAAUGGACGAAAGUCUGACCGAGCAACGCCGCGUGAGUGAAGAAGGUUUUCGGAUCGUAAAACUCUGUUGUUAGAGAAGAACAAGGACGUUAGUAACUGAACGUCCCCUGACGGUAUCUAACCAGAAAGCCACGGCUAACUCCGUGCCAGCAGCCGCGGUAAUACGGAGGGUGCAAGCGUUAAUCGGAAUUACUGGGCGUAAAGCGCACGCAGGCGGUCUGUCAAGUCGGAUGUGAAAUCCCCGGGCUCAACCUGGGAACUGCAUUCGAAACUGGCAGGCUAGAGUCUUGUAGAGGGGGGUAGAAUUCCAGGUGUAGCGGUGAAAUGCGUAGAGAUCUGGCGGAAUACCGGUGGCGAAGGCGGCCCCCUGGACAAAGACUGACGCUCAGGUGCGAAAGCGUGGGGAGCAAACAGG
rnacentral:rRNA from 1 species